rnacentral:lncRNA from 8 species
GCCACCCAGCAGUGAUAAGUAGUACUUUAAAGAAUUUUUACUUACAGUGCAUUCGGAAAGAUAUCAGACCCCUUGACUUUUUCCACAUUUUGUUACGUUACAGCCUUAUUUCAAAAUGGAUGAAAUCGUUUUCCCCCCUCAUCAAUCUACACACUGUACCCCAUAAUGACAAAGCGAAAACAGGUUUUUAGACAUUCCUGCAAAUGUAUUAAAAAUGUAUCAGGUAUUUCAGUUUUUUAUUUUUAAUACAUUUGCAAAACAUUUCUAAAACCCUGGUUUUGCUUUGUCAUUAUGGGGUAUUGUGUGUAGAUUGAUGAAGGAUUUAAAAAAAAAAUACAUUUUAGAAUAAGGCUGUAAUGUAACAAAAUGUGGAAAAAGUCAAGGCUUCUGAAUACUUUCCAAAUGCACUGUAAUUUUUUUUUUUUGGGGGGGGGGGGUAUCUGUACGUUACUUUAUUAUUUAUAUUUUUGACAACUUUUACUUAACUACAUAACUAAAGAAAAUAAUAUGGUUUUUACUCCAUCCAUUUAACCUGACACCCAAAAGUACUCAUUACAUUUUGAAUGCUAAGCAGGAAAGAAAAUGGUCCAAUUCACGCACGCACUUAUCAAGAGAACAUCUCUGGUCCUCCUAACUGCAGUGCUACUCCAAUUUCCUCUGGUUGUCCCAAGGUCCAUUGGAGAAUGCUGCUGAUAGGGCAGACCAUAACCUGUUGUGGACCAUGCAAGUACUUUUUGGGAGCUAGCUAUUUGUUUUUCUUACAACUAGCGGUGGUGGUGGAGCAGAGAACCUGGCGGCUGACUGGCGCCUGUGUCGCGGCUCUUUACUUUACCUGCCCUGCACGCAUAAGGCUGUCCCCGGAGGAGACUCAGGUUAAGCUUAUGCAGCCAUGGUUUAUCAAAUCAAAUUUUAUUGGUCACAUACACAUGGUUAGCAGAUGUUAUUACGAGUGUAGCGAAAUGCUUAUGCAUCCACAUCCGACAGUGCAGCAGUAUCUAAUAAAUUCCACAACAAAACUUAAUACGCACAAUCUAGUAAAGGAAUGGGAUGAGAAUAUAUAAGUAUAAAAUAUAUGGAUGAGCAGUGACAGAUCGGCUAAGAUGCAAUAGAUGGUAAAGAAUAGAUAGUGAAGGAUACAGUAUAUACAUAUGAGAUGAGUAAUGCGAGAUAUGUAAACAUUCUUAAAGUGGCAUUAUUAAAGUGACUAGUGUUCCAUUUAUUAAAGUGGCCAAUGAUAUCAAGUCUGUAGGUAGGCAGCUGCCUCUCUGUGCUAGUGGUGGCUGUUUAACAAUCUGAUGGCCUUGAGAUAGAAGCUGCUUUUUAAAUCUCUGUCCCAGCUCCGAUGCACAUGCACUGACCUCGCCCUCUGGAUGGAAGUCGGGUGAACUGGUAGUUAUUGUCCUUCUUGAUGAUCCGUUUUGCCUUCCUUAUCAAUGACUGGUGGUGACGUAUCAUCUACUCGUGAUCUGACAAAUUCUACAGGUACAUUAGUACUGCCAUGGUUAAGGAUAACGCCAUGGACAUUAAAGGGAUAAUAGGUAUUCAUGGUGUGUGAGCGAAUAACUUUUGCAUCAACUUUUUCAGUGUGCCUGCAGAAGUAUUGUAGCUAAUGUGAGUUGAGUUCCCUACUCUUUGCAUUCAAAUGUUCUCCACUCUGAUACAUCCAGAAAGUUUUCUAUUAUAUUCAGUGUACAUCUUUUUGGUGGUGACAUCCCAGUGUGUUGAAUCUUCUCUUGAUAUGAGCUGCCUGCGUACAGCGCAGUUCAGUGGUCGUGGUGCCGAAUUGGCGAUCGAGUCCUUUGAUGCUAUACUGUCCAUGGUGCUGAAUGUUUUUCAUGUGUCCAUGCAAACAUACUGUAAACAUCUAUGCAGUUUAAUAGGCCUACUUGAUCAAAUGUGCAAGUCAAAUUCAAUGCAAUUUACUACUUCUACCAAAUCUGCUAUUUGUGGUCUCUUGGGCUCCCUCUGUCUCUUUAGGUGCUUACUUUAAAAACGUUCCUAUCAGAGGGGAUUAUUUUGGCAUAAAGUGAAGGUUGGCAGUGCAUAUUAAUUUGGUGAUAAAGUAUAUUUUUCAUUCUAAUUAUGACAAUGAAGCGACAAGGAGCUGCGUCUAAAGUUGUUCAGUAAUGUAUUCAGCAAGCAGAGGUGUCUCUCUGCUUGCCUGCUGGCUGAGACAGGGAAUUACUUCACUGUCAGGAUUACUGACGCAUAGAUGAUCAUGGAUGGGGGACUGUGACAUCUAUUAUUCUACCACAGUAUUUUUGUCAGGCUUUAGUGUCAUAAGCCUCCUCUCUUCCACCAUUUGCAUUGUUAAUAACAUAGUGAGGGUCUAUUUCCUUAGAGAAACUGCAAUUCCUUCAAAAACCUCUCAAUAAGAACAAGAUCCAAACAUUUCUCUCUGUAAGAAAAAUGGUUUUGUUAUGUCUUACUUUACCAAGUUUAAAAUUUAAACUCGAUGUAUAGUAGCUACUAAAAUGCCUAAUUAUAUGCACUUUUGUUACAGAGAGAAAUCAAUGGUUGUUUAGUGUAGGUAGGCUGUAGUUUAUAUGUUGUUGCAGGGAUAAUUGCAGGUAUUCUUGAUGCAUGGUAACAAAUGUCAAUACUAAAUAAUCUUUUGAUUAUGAUUUCAUGCCCAGUGUAAGUAGGCUACAGACUGUACAAGUAGGCUACAGACUGUGCUUAGAAAGAACAUACCGGUAGGUUCAGAGACAGUGAAAGUGGACUUGGGGACAUGAAUGCUUUGCUCAGUAGGUUUGUGUAGUCCUGGCAUACAUUUUGCAAAGGGGAAGUACAUUGAAACUGCAUUUUGCAAGAUGGAACCAUUUUGAAAAGCCUGGGCCAGAUAUGGGGGGGCAGGGGUUAGCGCAGGAGAAAAACUCUGAGUAGCCCUGCUGGUUGUGCUGCUGCCGAGCGGCCUGGGCCUUAGAAAAAACGUCCAGCCCCUUCACAGCAUUUAGGGAUGGUGCAGGAUGCCCGCUCUGAUAGUGCCAGCUGAACACCCUUCCCAAUUCUCCAGGUCUCCAUGUCCUAAUCUCUUUAGGUGUGAUGCGCCCCAGAGAGGCUUGAGCGCAGCCCCGCAGGAACGCUGUUGUCUAGGAAUGUGGAGUGUGGAAAUGACCGGGAUUAUGGGAAGACUGGUGUGGGUGCCCAUGCUCUGCUAUCACAAAGUCUCUUGGCGCCCGUGCUGCUACCCUGUCAACUGAUAUAUUUUUCCAUUUUAGUAAUGCGGCCGUAGCAGUGCAUCUCUGUGCAUCUGCCACUCUGAUGUUCUGCCCUUAUAUUUGUUAGAAUUUGAUGUUGGUGUGUAAAAGUGUACAAUAUGGAAUAUGUCGUUUUGUGUGAAAUUGAUGGAGGAUGAGAGAGUGAUGAAAAAUGAUGGCAGGAAGUUCUCAUGCCAGGUGAAAUGGACCAAUGGAAAUAUUUGAGCUGUGCAGUUGAAUAGGGUUGUGGUUUCAUGGCCUAUUAAACUGAUACGACUGAGGAUGCUUCAUGCUCCAGAAACUCAAAUGUGAUGAUGCAGUGAAUCACAGAGGUUAAAUGCAAAUGAAAUUAUACUGCAAUGUUCUGUAAUUUUGGUAUUGCAUCAAAACUCCAGUUCUUGCAAUUCAAUCAUUUCUGGUAAAUAUAGCAUAGAACUGGAAUAACUAACUAUUUACAACUAUAUAGCCUACCAAUUUUUAUUGCAAAUUGACCACAUUCAAUACAAUUACAUAUAGACAUUUUCUACAAUACUUGGAAAGAAUCUUAUCCACAGUAAUGCAUUGGUCAAGUUAUAUUUCAUGCAAAACCGUAAUGCAAAAAUGACAAUUCUCAUUUUUAAAUAUAGAAAAAGGUGACUUUAGCACCCCCCCCCCCCCCCCCCCAACAAAAAACAACAUAAUAUGUAUAGAUACAAGAGUUUUACCGAUUAAUCGGAAUGGCCAAUUAAUUAGGGCUGAUUUCAAGUUUUCAUAACUAUCGGAAAUCGGUAUUUUUGGACGCCGAUUUGGCCUUUUUUAUUU